UCAAGCAUGGUGUGACUCGCAAGUAGUUU
rnacentral:sRNA from 1 species